rnacentral:lncRNA from 1 species
AGCGGGCAAGCUGCCCAGGAUGACUGCGGGUUGUAAGAGACUGUUCUUUUAUAUCAUUUGACUCAAAGUUUGCCGAGGAGCAAGUCCAGGCAAGUCCUGGGCAAAGGUAGAGAAAUCUUCCGUCUGGAGGACACUGAUGGACGGGUCCUGGCUAAGCGUUGUGAAAUCCUCCAAGGAGCACAGAUGGACACGGCCAGGGGCAGCGAGAGAGAGAUGAGCUGCUGAUAACGGCCGGGAAACGGUCUUUUUGUGUGGACUUACCUCGAGGAAGAUGGCCAUCUCAGGAGGUACGCACAGGACUCUUGCUCAAGCACCCAGGGGUGUCAGUAGGCAGCAGAAAAUGGAGGAUAAAAGAGGGGCCAACAACCCCGACAGAUUGGGCGGGGUUUUCUGCCAUCAGAUCCCUCACCACGACAGACUGAGAGGGUUUUCUGCCGUCAGAUCCCUCACCACGACGGACUGAGAGGGGUAUUCUGCCAUCCGAUCCCUCACCACGACAGACCAGUGAAGGGUUUCUGCCAUCAGAUCUCCCUGUUCCUGCUGGCCACUAUUUCUGAUACAAGCCAGGAUGCCGUUGGCCUUCUUGGCUGCCUGGGCACACUGCUGGCUCAUGUUCAGUCUGGCAUCAAUUAACACCCCCAGGUCCAUUUCCUCUACACAGAACUUGAUGUUCUUUCUCGAGGCGUAUCUUUUCCAAGGACCAGUAGCGCUUCUGAUUCAUGCUCUCCGGUUCCCCAGAGUUCAGCGUCACAGGGUGUCGUGCUGUUUCCUCAUAGGCACAUUGGAGUGAUGUUGCUCCUGCCGGCCAUCCUUUGGACUUAAAACCUCAAGGGGAGUAAAACAGACGUUUAAUAGGUACAAGGAGGGGUAGGUCUGCCCUCCACGGUAAGAUGCAGGCUGUGUUUCGGUCUUGGGUCAACACCUCUGCCUGUAUCGGGGCACGUCCUGGCCUUCGAUACCACACUCUUUGGCCCGAAAUCUGCGACUGAAUCACUAUGUCGGGUAUCAAAAGGGGAGGUUCUAAUUUGCCACAUGGCCAUGAUUAAUGUCCCCUUUGCAAUGAAAACAGGGGUGUCGACUACUACCUCUGUUGGCCGUACACCCAUUACUGAAGGGUUUACCGAUCCCCCAACCUCUAACAAUCUCCUCCAAGGUGCAAGGAGACCACACCAUUUUAGUCCUGCUUGCACCUUCCAAGGCCAUUUUACCUUGUGUCUCCUGGGCUCCCCGUCAUCAGGGGCAGGGAGCAGAAGAUUAUCCAUGGUGCCAACUUGUGGCUUGAGUGAGGUGUCCUUGCUUGCAAUUUGUAUCCUAAGUGGGGAGGCCCAAGUUGGCUGCAACGUCCUUAAAGCACUGGGUCUGCCAUCUCUUGGUCUCUCAUUCAAGUCUCGCAGGGUUUCAUAAAGCCUUUUGGUCCACCCCUGCAAGGACUGGUGAAUCUGCCUUCAGAGCAGCCUUCAGGAUCCCAUUGUAUCUUUCUAUUAGGCCUGCUCCUGUUGGAUUGUAGGGCAGGUGAAACCGCCAUUCAAUGUUAUUGUCUUCAGCCCACUUCUGCACAGUUGCACCUGUGAAAUGCGUACCUUGAUCACUCUCAAUGACCUCAGGAGUCCCGUAUGAUGCCAUCAAUCUAGUUAGAGCUUUGAUGGUAGAGGCUUGGUUUGCCUUUGCUACAGGAUAGGCUUGCAUCAGUCCACUCGCUGUAUCGACACAAGUUAGGGCAUAUCUGGCCCCCUCAGAUCGAGGAAGGGGACCUAUAUAAUCAAUCUGCCAUCGCUGCAAUGGGUUGUGUCCUCUAGCGAGAUGGCCGUAGUUUCCGGCAGAGGUCUUGGUCUCAUUCGCGAGCAAGCGUCACAGUCCUGACACGCCU